AAUUGUUCCAAUGGUCAUUGAAUUUUGGCCUAAAUAAUAUUUUUGGCAUUUUUUUAUACAAGCGGCCGGCGUGGGUGGGGUUUUGGUCUUCUUUUUAUACAAGCGGUCCCGCGUGGGACCGCCUGCUGUGAGUGUGUGUACGCACAGCAUAAUUGAUUCAUUUAAGCGACGCCCAGAAGGAUGAACGCCACUUUCUUGAUCAUCAUCCUCUCCAUUACAGAAACCAGAUUAUGUAUCCCAGACUAAUUUUAUUAAAAUGUGCAACUUUACUGUUGUUAAUUUUCUGCAGGAUGACUUUAUCACAAAAUGUCAUUGAAACUCUGCCAGGGUAUCCUGGCAAACUUCCAUUCAGACUUGAAACUGGGUGAGCUUCUCUAUUUCAUUUUCCUCCGACAAAAUAAGCAGUUAUCUGAUGUUCUUUUGCAGUUACGUCGGUAUAGGAGAAUCGGAAGAAGUGCAGCUAUUUUAUUAUUUCAUCGAGUCUGAAAGGAACCCAAAAGAUGAUCCCUUAAUGAUUUGGCUCACUGGAGGCCCGGCUUGCUCUGGUCUCUCAGGUCUUAUAUAUGAGAUGGGUAUGUUUCGGGUCUUUAUACUGUUUUUGGCUCAAAAUUGAAUUUGCUAUUAACCGUCAAAGUAAAAAAGUUUGUCCCUUCUCUCACCGCUGACGCUUUUUGAUGGGUGAUUAAAGCAAGUGGAGGGUUGAUUUGAAAUCUUACUUCAACCUAUUUAUGAAAAUCAUGUAGAUCAUUAGGCCUUUGAUAAAAAUAAUU
rnacentral:lncRNA from 1 species